rnacentral:rRNA from 1 species
UACAGAGGGUGCAAACGUUGCUCGGAAUUAUUGGGCGUAAAGCGCACGUAGGCGGCAUCGUAGUCCGAUGUGAAAGCCCCAGGCUCAACCUGGGAAGUGCAUUGGAUACUGCGGAGCUUGAAUCUGGAAGAGGGUCGCGGAAUUCCCGGUGUAGAGGUGAAAUUCGUAGAUAUCGGGAGGAACACCAGUGGCGAAGGCGGCGACCUGGGCCAAGAUUGACGCUGAGGUGCGAAAGCGUGGGGAGCAAACAGG